UACGUAGGGUGCGAGCGUUAAUCGGAAUUACUGGGCGUAAAGCGUGCGCAGGCGGUUUUGUAAGCCAGGUGUGAAAUCCCCGGGCUUAACCUGGGAAUGGCCGUCGAAACUGGCGAACUGGAGUGUGGCAGAGGGGGGUGGAAUUCCGCGUGUAGCAGUGAAAUGCGUAGAGAUGCGGAGGAACACCGAUGGCGAAGGCAGCCCCCUGGGCUGACACUGACGCUCAGGCACGAAAGCGUGGGGAGCAAACAGG
rnacentral:rRNA from 1 species